UGGGUAAAGCCUGAUGCAGCGACGCCGCGUGGGGGAUGACGGUCUUCGGAUUGUAAACUCCUUUCAGUAGGGACGAAGCGAAAGUGACGGUACCUGCAGAAGAAGCACCGGCCAACUACGUGCCAGCAGCCGCGGUAAUACGUAGGGUGCAAGCGUUGUCCGGAAUUACUGGGCGUAAAGAGCUCGUAGGCGGUUUGUCACGUCGUCUGUGAAAUCCUCCAGCUCAACAUGGGGGCGUGCAGGCUAUACGGGCAGACUUGAGUACUACAGGGGAGACUGGAAUUCCUGGUGUAGCAGGUGAAAUGCGCAGAUAUCAGGAGGGAACACCGGUGGCUAAAGGCGGGUCUCUUGGGUAGUAACUGACGCUGAGGAGCGAAAGCAUUGGGGAGCAAACAGGAUUACAUACCCUUGUAGUCC
rnacentral:rRNA from 1 species